rnacentral:rRNA from 1 species
AUUGAACGCUGGCGGCAUGCUUUACACAUGCAAGUCGAACGAUAACAGGCCUUCUUGUGCUGCCGAGUGUCGAACGGGUGAGUAAUGCAACCGAACGUACCCAGAGCUGGUGGAUAACGCAGCGAAAGCUGUACUAAUACCGCAUGUGAUCUGAGGAUUAAAGCGGGGGACCGAGCAGCAAAAUUUUGCCUCUCCCCUUUGUAGCGGCCGGUGUCGGAUUAGCUAGUUGGUUGGGUAAAGGCCUACCAAGGCGACGAUCCGUAGCUGGUCUGAGAGGACGACCAGCCACACUGGAACUGAGACACGGUCCAGACUCCUACGGGAGGCAGCAGUAGGGAAUUUUCCGCAAUGGGCGAAAGCCUGACCCAGCAAUGCCGCGUGAGGGAAGAAGGCCUUCGGGUUGUAAACCGCUUUUAGCAGGGACGAAAAGGCGUCCGCUAAUACCGGGCGCUAAUGACGGUACCUGAACAAUAAGCACCGGCUAACUACGUG